rnacentral:rRNA from 1 species
UACGGAGGGUGCAAGCGUUAUCCGGAUUCACUGGGUUUAAAGGGUGCGUAGGUGGGCAGGUAAGUCAGUGGUGAAAUCUCCGAGCUUAACUCGGAAACUGCCGUUGAUACUAUUUGUCUUGAAUAUUGUGGAGGUAAGCGGAAUAUGUCAUGUAGCGGUGAAAUGCUUAGAUAUGGCAUAGAACACCAAUUGCGAAGGCAGCUUACUACACAACGAUUGACGCUGAGGCACGAAAGCGUGGGGAUCAAACAGG